rnacentral:rRNA from 1 species
GACGAAGGGGGCUAGCGUUAUCCGGAAUUACUGGGCGUAAAGCGCACGCAGGCGGUUCGCCAAGUUUGGAGUGACAGUUGUCGGCUCAACCGACAAAGGACUUCAAAAACUGGUGAACUUGAGGACGAGAGAGGAACAUGGAACUCCAGGUGUAGUAGUGAAAUGCGUAGAUAUCUGGAAGAACACCAAUGGCGAAGGCAAUGUUCUGGCUCGUUUCUGACGCUCAGGUGCGAAAGCCAGGGGAGCGAACGGG